rnacentral:snoRNA from 1 species
AGAUCAUUUAAAGAGUGCUCAUGUGGCUGUGAAGCCAAGAACUCUUGAUGCUGGGACAUUAUUGGGAUUCUUUACAGAAAGUGUUUCUAUUUCUGUGAAGAAAUA